GGCUUCGUGGUCUAGUGGUAUGAUUCUUGCUUCGGGUGCAGGAGGUCCCGAGUUCGAAUCUCGGCGGAGCCC
rnacentral:tRNA from 1 species